GGGAAUGUGGCUUAGUGGUAGAGUGCUUGUCUAGUAUGCACGAAGUCCUAGGUUCAAUUCCUCAGUACCA
rnacentral:tRNA from 1 species